rnacentral:rRNA from 1 species
GGGAACUGAAACAUCUAAGUACCCCGAGGAAAAGAAAUCAACCGAGAUUCCCCCAGUAGCGGCGAGCGAACGGGGAGGAGCCCAGAGCCUGAAUCAGCAUGUGUGUUAGUGGAAGCGUCUGGAAAGGUGCGCGAUACAGGGUGACAGCCCCGUACACAAAAGCGCAUGUGCUGUGAGCUCGAUGAGUAGGGCGGGACACGUGGUAUCCUGUCUGAAUAUGGGGGGACCAUCCUCCAAGGCUAAAUACUCCUGACUGACCGAUAGUGAACCAGUACCGUGAGGGAAAGGCGAAAAGAACCCCGGCGAGGGGAGUGAAAAAGAACCUGAAACCGUGUACGUACAAGCAGUGGGAGCACCCUUCGGGGUGUGACUGCGUACCUUUUGUAUAAUGGGUCAGCGACUUAUAUUCUGUAGCAAGGUUAACCGUAUAGGGGAGCCGGAGGGAAACCGAGUCUUAACCGGGCGUUAAGUUGCAGGGUAUAGACCCGAAACCCGGUGAUCUAGCCAUGGGCAGGUUGAAGGUUGGGUAACACUAACUGGAGGACCGAACCGACUAAUGUUGAAAAAUUAGCGGAUGACCUGUGGCU